GACGCUGGCGGCGUGCUUAACACAUGCAAGUCGAACGGUGACGAGGAGCUUGCUCCUCUGAUCAGUGGCGAACGGGUGAGUAACACGUGAGCAACCUGCCCCAGACUCUGGGAUAACAGUUGGAAACAGCUGCUAAUACCGGAUACGAGACGGAGAGGCAUCUCUACCGUCUGGAAAGUUUUUCGGUCUGGGAUGGACUCGCGGCCUAUCAGCUAGUUGGUGAGGUAAUGGCUCACCAAGGCGACGACGGGUAGCCGGCCUGAGAGGGCGACCGGCCACACUGGGACUGAGACACGGCCCAGACUCCUACGGGAGGCAGCAGUGGGGAAUAUUGCACAAUGGGCGAAAGCCUGAUGCAGCGACGCCGCGUGAGGGAUGACGGCCUUCGGGGUGUAAAGUUCUUUUAUAUGUGAGCAGUGCUUCUUAUAUUAACAGUAUGGGGAGAGAGAUAUUAGCAUAUGAAUAAGCAACGGCUAACUCCGUG
rnacentral:rRNA from 1 species